AUUGAACGCUGGCGGCAGGCCUAACACAUGCAAGUCGAGCGCGCGGCGCACGGGUGAGUAAUGUAUCGGGAAUCCCCGUUAGAGGGGGAUAACUACUGGAAACAGUGUCUAUUACCGCAUACUGUCUGAUAACCCCUAUGGGAUUAGCUAGUGGGUAAGGUAAUGGCUUACCUAGGCGACGAUCCCUAGCUGGUCUGAGAGGAUGAUCAGCCACACUGGGACUGAGACACGGCCCAGACUCCUACGGAGGCAGCAGUGGGGAAUAUUGCACAAUGGGCGCAAGCCUGAUGCAGCCAUGCCGCGUGUAUGAAGAAGGCCCUAGGGUUGUAAAGUACUUUCAGUCGGGAGGCGUUACCGACAGAAGAAGCACCGGCUAACUCCGUGCCAGCAGCCGCGGUAAUAC
rnacentral:rRNA from 1 species